GCCUUCGUGGUGUAGUGGUUCUGCACGCUGGGCCGGCACUCCAGAGGUCCGCGGUUCGAUUCCCGGCGAAGGCG
rnacentral:tRNA from 1 species